AAAUCCUGUAUCUGGUGUCCAAUAUUUUGAAAGCGUCUCUUCCUCACUGGCAAAACCCUAGGCUUAGCAAAAGUAGGAAAGGGGAGUGAAAAGUGUGAUUCCUACUAAGAUGAAAUGGAGAAAAGCACUCGAUAGUUGCCUGAUGCCUUCAGUGUUACGUGCAAAGGAGUGGUUUUGGUAUUUGGGAAAGGCAGGUUAAAGAGCGCUGCUUUACUUAUUUCUUCUUAACGAAUAUGGGAUCAUUUUUUCAUGAUUAAGGUCAAGAGGACCUGCAGUACUUGGGAUAUACCUUGCUAGAUUAAGCAUAUAUAGAUCUCAAACCACUCCAGGCUCAGUAAAUUGCAAUCUUUUGUUUUGUUUUAAACUAAAAUGGCCUAUUUCCACAUUGUCAGAGACACCUAGGAUUUUCGGCUGUAACAUUCUCUGCUUCUAAGGAUCUCAAAACAUUUGAUAGAUGUUUUAUUUUAUACCUUCUUUAUAAUCUUGGAGACAGAAUUCAAGCUUUCAACUGCCUUGCAACAUGACUAUAGGAGCUGGGAUUAGCCCACGAGGUGAGAGGUUGGAGAGUCCCAUCUUUUCUACUCACGCUUCUGUGCUCUAGGCAUGUACUGCCUUUUCCAACUGAGUUUGCCCAGCCCACUCUUAAAAAUAAACCCAGGUUGUUUGCCAAGGGGAUGAAAAGACACUGGGAAGCAAGGAUGCCUGAACCAUGCAGAAUAUAUUGUCCCUUCUUUCUCUUUCCCGGGCUCUUAGGCUUUCCUGGCAGCCUGACUUUGUGGGGAUUCUCAGAGUUUUGCUAUAGGUAAAUGUCUGUGUUUCUGUUGCAUUGCAGAUACAGGGAGCUAAGGAAGGAAGGAUUCCAGGUGAGGAGGACUGAAGGAACUGAAGGCUACCAGAGAAAACCAGAAAAUCAACCUGCUACACCAUAACCUCGUAUCUCACUGGACUCUAAGGCAACUGAGUUGGAUCGAAAUAAACCUUUAUUUCCCUUAUAUUUAUUUAUAUUUAUUUAUUUCCCCUUUAUUUGCCAUCACUGCCACCCAUCUUCUCAAAACACACACACACACACACACACACACACACACACACACACGUGUACAUUCAUUGAAGACCAAGGCCCUGACUCAUAUCCUUUUUCUCCAUCUCUAAAUCUGCCAUUACUUCCCUUAGAUC
rnacentral:lncRNA from 1 species